AACGAACGCUGGCGGCAGGCCUAAAACAUGCAAGUCGAACGCCCUAGCAAUAGGGAGUGGCGCACGGGUGAGUAACGCGUGGGAACGUGCCCUUCAGUACGGAACAACGUCGGGAAACUGACGCUAAUACCGUAUAAUAUCUCCGGAUCAAAGAUUUAUCGCUGAAGGAUCGGCCCGCGUCUGAUUAGCUAGUUUGUGAGGUAAUGGCUCACCAAGGCUACGAUCAGUAGCUGGUCUGAGAGGAUGAUCAGCCACACUGGGACUGAGACACGGCCCAGACUCCUACGGGAGGCAGCAGUUAGGAAUAUUGGACAAUGGGCGAAAGCCUGAUCCAGCCAUGCCGCGUGUGUGAUGAAGGCCUUAGGGUUGUAAAGCACUUUCGUUGGGGAUGAUAAUGGCCGUACCCAAAGAAGAAGCCACGGCUAAAUUCGUGCCAGCCGCCGCAGUAA
rnacentral:rRNA from 1 species